UACGGAGGGGGCUAGCGUUGUUCGGAAUUACUGGGCGUAAAGCGCACGUAGGCGGAUAUUUAAGUCAGGGGUGAAAUCCCAGAGCUCAACUCUGGAACUGCCUUUGAUACUGGGUAUCUUGAGUAUGGAAGAGGUGAGUGGAAUUCCGAGUGUAGAGGUGAAAUUCGUAGAUAUUCGGAGGAACACCAGUGGCGAAGGCGGCUCACUGGUCCAUUACUGACGCUGAGGUGCGAAAGCGUGGGGAGCAAACAGG
rnacentral:rRNA from 1 species